AGAAGGUCUGACCUGGACGCUGCAUAAUGACUCAGUGGUGAGAAAGACAAGGCAGAAAUGGAAUCACUUCAGAUAC